GUAUUCCAGUGCCUUCUCGCCCCAAGCGGUGGUCUCGUUGAGGUCCUGGCGGCUGGAGAAGUUGGGACGACGAGCGUCGCGGGCGACCAGCCAUGGAGUUCCUGCUACAACCAAUACGCGGAUCCACUUUCUUGGAAGAGGUUGGCGAAAGCUUGGUGCCGCCGGUGGCUCCGAAGCUGGCCUCUGUGGCGGCGGAGCACCAUGUAGUGGAUAUGGUGGUCGACCUUCCAGUUGUGCAGUAGGAGACGUCGCCACCUGUGCACCAGGCCGCUAGCGGCCAUGCGCAGAUUGUGGUAGGACCGGCGUCAGCCGGGGUUAGGUUGGAGAGCUCACCCCCGUCAUCAGAGUUGUCCACUGGGAAGAUGAAUCCGUGAGCCCCUGGGUGGAAUAAGAGGUUGAGGAUUGGAGCUGCAGCCCCGAGCAGGCCACCGUGUCCAAACCGCAUCAGCGCGUUUGAGAAGGCAGUACGGAGUUUUGCUGAGAAUCCUACGGAGAAUGUUAUCACGCCAGUUAUCGGCACAACAUUCGACUCGGUGGGUGAGGCUUACGACUUCUACAAUUUGUACUCCUAUGAGAAGGGAUUUGGCAUUCGUUAUGGCAAAAGCAGGUUAAAUGUGGAGAGGACAAAAUGCAUGCAGGAGAUAGUUUGUGGUUGCUCAGGAAAAGCAGGUGCCGAGAACACAAGAUCUUGUCGUUGUGAGUGUCCUGCUCUAAUUAGGCUGCUACGAGCAGAGGACAAAGGAUGGUAUAUUGCGGAGCAUAGGGAUACGCACAACCACUCGUUGUCGCCUAAUUGCGGUGAGACAAUCCACUGGCCAUCACACAAACACAUUGAUGUGUACACCAGAGAUCUUGUGAAGCAGUUGAGGCAGAACAAUGUGAAUUUGGCAAAGGUGUACAACAUCGUUGGGUUUUUUUUUUGGAUCGAUGGAAAAUGUUCCGUUCACAAAGAGGUCUUUGCGUAAUCUAUGUGGUAAGAUAAACAGGGACCAUGCAGAGGAUGAUGUGAAGAAGACAAUUGAUGUGUUUGCUGAGAUAGGGGAUAAAGAUCCACACUUCACGUACAGGGUUCAGUCUGACAACGAGGGAAGGAUCAAGAAUCUGAUGUGGGCAACCAGGAGCAGUAGGUUGCAGUACUCAUUUUUUGGGGAUGUCAUCACUUUUGACACAACUUACCGAACAAACCUGUACGACAUGCCUUUUGGCUUGUUUGUUGGCGUGAACAACCACUUCCAGAGUGUGCUCCUGGCGGGAGUCCUUGUGCGUGAUAAAACCGAAGAUAGUUUUGUAUAUGGGUCUUCUCAGAAUUCCUCCGAAUGAUGGAUGGCUCUCCACCUGUGACCAUACUAACAGACCAGAACCGGGCUAUGGAGCUAGCGAUCAAGAACGUUAUGCCAAACACGACACACCGAUAGUGCAAGUGGCAUAUCCUGAAAAAAGCAAAAGAGUCACUCGGUAGCUUGUACACAAAGAAAAGUGAAUUCAGGGCUGAAUUUUAUAAGGUGGUAAAUCACAUGCUGACAGAAGAUGAAUUUGAAAAAGGUGUUGCUGGACAAAUACAAGCUGAGAUCUCAUCCGUACAUGACAAGCCUGUUUGAGAUUCAUAAGAAAUGGGAGAAAGCUUAUUUUAAGGGCGUUUUUUGUGCAAAAAUGACUAGCACACAGAGGAGUGAGAGUGCAAACCAUAUGCUGAAAAAUUAUGUCCCUCCUGGUUGCCCGAUGCGCAUGUUUGUUUAGAAAUACAUGAGGCUGCAAUUUGACCGGGAAUCGGAGGAGAACUAUGAAGAAAAACGAACGUGAAUUGGGAGUCCGUUGCUAAGAGCGAACCUAGCUGUGGAAAGGCAUGCGGGCAUGAUAUAUACAAGAGCAAUGUUUGAAUAGUUUGGACAUAUACUAUACGAAUGUGGUGCUUACCAAGUUGAGGAGGUUGGGAAACACCAGACAUAUAUUGUGAUCCACAGCGAAGCAGAGAAGAGAGAGAGAAAUGGUGCAUGGUGUCGUACAAGGUUACAAUGCUGGAUGGGGGUGAUGAAUUCGAUUGCGAGUGUGGACGAUUCGCACACAUGGGCCUGCUGUGUUGCCAUGUGCUGAAGGUGUUAGAUUUUAUUCGGGCUAAAGAAAUACCAGAAAAACAUAUCGUGAAGCGAUGGACAAAAGAUGCAAAAGAUAUACUGCCAGCUCACCUAGUCCAAUACUAGAAGGAUAGCAUGAAGAACAAUCCAUUUUCAUAUAUGCACUUCACUAUGUACAUGCACGCGAUGGAAUUGGUGAGAUUAGGGGACACCAUCGUGGAUGCAUACAACCGGCUGAUGGAAUUGUUCAAGUCAAAUUUGACAGUAAUGCUACCUUACGCAGAAGUGAGGGAUGGUCUUGGGCUAGAGGACAGGCUUGCAGCAAAGGGAUCGUGGUCGAUCGGUCAAACCCUGCUGCACUAGUUGGUGAACAAGUUAACCACGCACCGGAGGGGGUGCAGAGCUUGCGGACAAUGACUCUACGUCAAGAACAAGCAACCGUUUGCAUGGACUGCUGGCUCCAGCAAAAUGGAAACAGAUGGGACGACCAACGACGAGUAGGGAGAAGGCUCCGUACGAAGGCAUGAGCAAACGGACCAGAUUUUGCACAAUUUGUCGUAGGCAGGGUCACAAGCGAACAACUUGUCCAGACCGUGGAGAUAUCCCAAAACAGCCUUGGAAGCCAGCUAGAUGCAUGAACUGUGGCGUCGAAGGUCAUCGACGAAACAACUGUCAUAAAGCAAUGGCAGUAGAACUAGCAGGAGGCAUGUGAAGAGAAUGAUCUAUGACAUAAUGCCAGGAUAUGGAGUAGUUUAUGAACUUUGAAAUUUGAUGAGACUAAUGUAAUGUUGUCUGUCCUGUCAUGUAUGUGGUUUGUAUGCGAUGCCAGUAGAUUCUUGUGCUGUUGUUACCAAAACAUUUAUGUUUUCUAGUUUUUUAUUAUGAACCAUAUCGUGUUGUAGUAAGCAGAGAGGAAUCGUUAUGUUUU